AACGAACGCUGGCGGCAUGCCUAACACAUGCAAGUCGAACGAGCCCUUCGGGGCUAGUGGCGCACGGGUGCGUAACGCGUGGGAAUCUGCCCUCUGGUUCGGAACAACUCAGGGAAACUUGAGCUAAUACCGGAUAAUGACUUCGGUCCAAAGAUUUAUCGCCAGAGGAUGAGCCCGCGUCGGAUUAGCUAGUUGGUGAGGUAAAAGCUCACCAAGGCGACGAUCCGUAGCUGGUCUGAGAGGAUGAUCAGCCACACUGGGACUGAGACACGGCCCAGACUCCUACGGGAGGCAGCAGUGGGGAAUAUUGGACAAUGGGCGAAAGCCUGAUCCAGCAAUGCCGCGUGAGUGAUGAAGGCCUUAGGGUUGUAAAGCUCUUUUACCCGGGAUGAUAAUGACAGUACCGGGAGAAUAAGCCCCGGCUAACUCCGUGCCAGCCGCCGCCGUAACAC
rnacentral:rRNA from 1 species